AUCUCUUGAGUAGCUGGGACUACAGGUGCCCGCCACCACGCCCAGCUAAUUUUUUGUAUUUUUAGUAGAGACGGAGUUUCACCGUGUUAGCCAGGAUGGUCUCGAUCUCCUGACCUCGUGAUCUGCCCGUCUCGUCCUCCCAGAGUGCUGGGAUUACAGGCGUGAGCCACUGCGCCCGGCCAAUCUUCCUCAUUUUACCGAUGAGGACAGGGAGAUGCAAAGGGGGUAAGAAACAGUGACCAAGGUCAGCCAGCGGGGUGAGAGCUGCGAUUUGAAUCCAGGCCUGACUCUAAAGCACCUGCCUACCCAGCAGGACUUGGCAGCAGAUGCAAAUAAGGGAGCAAGGAGGCAGAAGUCAGAGAAGGGCAGUUGGGGGACUCCUGCGUCCCAGAAACAGUUGGGAAGGGGAGAUGGUGGAAAUCCUGGUUCUUCUCUGGGUUCUGAGUGGGCUCUGCCUCUUCCCCCGGGCCUAUCCCCUCCUGAGGCUCCGCCCCUCUCCACUGCACCCUGGCCCUCCCCCUCCUCCCUCCCUCCUCAGCUCCACCCCACUCCCCUGUCUAGGCAUGCAGAUCCUGCGCACGGCCCAGGCAGCGCUGGGCAAAGGCUGCCUGGCCAGCUCCUUCAUCUGCGUGUACCUGUUUACAGGCGAACUGUACCCCACAGAGAUCAGGCAGAUGGGGAUGGGCUUCGCCUUGGUCUACGCCCGCCUUGGGGGCCUGGCGGCACCCCUGGUUACCACACUUGGGGAGUACAGCACCAUCCUGCCGCCUGUGAGCUUCGGGGCCACCGCAGUCCUGGCUGGGCUGGCUGUCUGCUUCCUGACCGAGACCCGCAACGCACCCCUGGUAGAGAGGAUCGCAGCGAUGGAGAGAAGGGCCAAAGAAGCCUCUUCCAAGAAACAUGUAGAAGAGAAGAGUGAAGAAAUUUCUCUUCAGCAGCUGAGAACAUCUCCCCUCAGAGAAACCAUCUAAGCUGCCCGGAGCCUGGUGCUUGCUAGCAGCACCUGAGCCGAUGUCCAGACGGCCCCCUGGGGGCUUCUCCUGGAAGCCCCUGGGGAUACUGGUACUGAACUGGAGGAAAGGUCGCUGAAAACAUGUGGCUCCUAUAGAGAGCCACCCACAAGCCAGGGCUGCUUGGAGGGAAACUCCCACCAGAAACAGCCAAUCUGCGUUACAAAUGCAUAGAAAGCCAGGAGAAGCCAGUCCCAAGGACCAAAGGAGAGACUGUUUUCCUUUCCCAUCCCCAAUCUGCCCCUUAAAAUGUCUCUGUAUUAGUCCAUUCUUGCACUCCUAUAAAGAAGUACCUGAGAUUGGGUCCUUUAUGAGGAAAAGUGGUUUAAUUGACUCACGGUUCUGCAGAUUGUACAGGAAGCAUGGCUGGGAGGCCUCAGGAAAUGUACAAUCAUUGCAGAAGGCAAAGGGGAAGCAAGCACGUCUUCACAUGGCUGGCAAGAGAAAGAGAGAUAUUUUAUUUUCUUCACCUCAGCCUCCCAAAGUGCUGGGAUUACAGGUGUGAGGAA
rnacentral:lncRNA from 1 species